rnacentral:rRNA from 1 species
AUGGCAGAAGCUUUAGCCCUCAAAUUUGGACUAACACUAGCGCAAAGGGCAGGGUGCAAUCGCCUAAUCAUCAACUCAGAUAAUCUGGAGGUGAUUGAGACCAUGUAGGAUGGAGGACAGUCAACGGCGGCAAUUUUCGAUGACCGCUUCCACUACGCAUGUGAUUUUAUCGUGACUAGAUUCGAACAUUGUAAUAGAGAGGCAAAUGAAGUAGCACAUGAACUUGCUAAGUUAGCUAGAUUUUCUUCAACUUCAGAUUGGUUCGAGGAGCCUAUCAAUGAAAUUGUACUCUUCCUCACAAACGAUGUAUUGGUUCUUUUUAAUGAAUAA